rnacentral:lncRNA from 1 species
UUUGGAAUGUGUUAAGAGGGUCGGUCCAGCUUUAAGAACUAUGGUAAAUUUUUAGCACACCAUUUUCUUUGCUCUGUCUGAAAAUCAAAAGUAUCCAAUAUGAGACUUGCAAUGAAGAAGGGGGAUGCUUUGAACCUGUAUUAGGGUAUUAUGGGUGAGAAUUUAGAACUGAAUAGCAGCAAUGGAUACAGAACAGAGCACACAUCCAGGAGGAUUGCUUACUGAUCUAAAGGAUAAAGACUUUGCUGACCCACUCCCUGUGCAACUGUUAGAGAAAGACAUAAGUUCUGGUUUGCAAACGGAUUUAAAAGGCACUGGCCCAUGGGUAAUCCUGAUGGAGCACAUUUGUUUUCUGUGCAGAUCCUCUCACCUGUAUAGUUACUAAGCUGGGUACCACUGCCACACGACCACACAUCUGUCUCAGGGUAGGACAGCCUGACCUUCUCCAGGGUAUGCAUCCUGAACAUGAAGCAUAAAGAGUUUGGAGAGUUUUAUCACUUGAAAGAAGAGAACAGAAUCAAUUCCUAAAUAAGGCAAUAAAG